UGCAGGAAAGCAGGGGACCGCAAGGCCUUGCGCUCUUUGAGCGGCCGAUGUCAGAUUAGCUAGUUGGUGAGGUAAAGGCUUACCAAGGCGACGAUCUGUAGCGGGUCUGAGAGGAUGAUCCGCCACACUGGAACUGAGACACGGUCCAGACUCCUACGGGAGGCAGCAGUGGGGAAUUUUGGACAAUGGGGGCAACCCUGAUCCAGCCAUGCCGCGUGAGUGAAGAAGGCCUUCGGGUUGUAAAGCUCUUUCGGCCGGGAAGAAAUCGCAUGGGCCAAUACCCUGUGUGGAUGACGGUACCGGAAUAAGAAGCACCGGCUAACUACGUGCCAGCAGCCGCGGUAAUACGUAGGGUGCGAGCGUUAAUCGGAAUUACUGGGCGUAAAGCGUGCGCAGGCGGUUUUGUAAGACAGGCGUGAAAUCCCCGGGCUUAACCUGGGAACUGCGUUUGUGACUGCAAGGCUAGAGUACGGCAGAGGGGGGUGGAAUUCCACGUGUAGCAGUGAAAUGCGUAGAGAUGUGGAGGAACACCAAUGGCGAAGGCAGCCCCCUGGGUCGAUACUGACGCUCAUGCACGAAAGCGUGGGUAGCAAACAGGAUUAGAUACCCUGGUAGUCCACGCCCUAAACUAUGUCAACUAGGUGUUGGGUGGGUAAAACCAUUUAGUACCGUAGCUAACGCGUGAAGUUGACCGCCUGGGGAGUACGGCCGCAAGGUUAAAACUCAAAGGAAUUGACGGGGACCCGCACAAGCGGUGGAUGAUGUGGAUUAAUUCGAUGCAACGCGAAAAACCUUACCUACCCUUGACAUGCCAGGAACUUGCCAGAGAUGGCUUGGUGCCCGAAAGGGAGCCUGGACACAGGUGCUGCAUGGCUGUCGUCAGCUCGUGUCGUGAGAUGUUGGGUUAAGUCCCGCAACGAGCGCAACCCUUGUCGUUAAUUGCCAUCAUUUAGUUGGGCACUUUAACGAGACUGCCGGUGACAAACCGGAGGAAGGUGGGGAUGACGUCAAGUCCUCAUGGCCCUUAUGGGUAGGGCUUCACACGUCAUACAAUGGUCGGUACAAAGGGUUGCCAAGCCGCGAGGCGGAGCCAAUCCCAGAAAGCCGAUCGUAGUCCGGAUUGCAGGCUGCAACUCGCCUGCAUGAAGUCGGAAUCGCUAGUAAUCGUGGAUCAGCAUGUCACGGUGAAUACGUUCCCGGGUCUUGUACACACCGCCCGUCACACCAUGGGAGCGGGUUCCGCCAGAAGUAGGUGGCCUAACCGCAAGGGGGGCGCUUACCACGGCGGGGUUCGUGACUGGGGUGAAGUCGAAACAAGGUA
rnacentral:rRNA from 1 species